CAACCCUCAAGCUCUGCUUGGUGUUGGGCCACACCGGUAACGGUCGGCCCUAAAAUCAGUGGCGGUGCUGUCAGGCCCUAAGCGUAGUAAUCUUUCUCGCUACAGGGUCCUGCUACGUGCUCGCUAGACAAUCCCCAUUCUAU
rnacentral:misc_RNA from 1 species